GACGAACGCUGGCGGCGUGCUUAACACAUGCAAGUCGAACGGAAAGGCCCUGCUUUUGUGGGGUGCUCGAGUGGCGAACGGGUGAGUAACACGUGAGUAACCUGCCCUUGACUUUGGGAUAACUUCAGGAAACUGGGGCUAAUACCGGAUAGGAGCUCCUGCUGCAUGGUGGGGGUUGGAAAGUUUCGGCGGUUGGGGAUGGACUCGCGGCUUAUCAGCUUGUUAGUGGGGUAGUGGCUUACCAAGGCUUUGACGGGUAGCCGGCCUGAGAGGGUGACCGGCCACAUUGGGACUGAGAUACGGCCCAGACUCCUACGGGAGGCAGCAGUGGGGAAUAUUGCACAAUGGGCGGAAGCCUGAUGCAGCAACGCCGCGUGCGGGAUGACGGCCUUCGGGUUGUAAACCUCUUUCGCCUGUGACGAAGCGUGAGUGACGGUAAUGGGUAAAGAAGCACCGGCUAACUACGUG
rnacentral:rRNA from 1 species